UGAAACUCAAAACUCGUCACUUUACUCCUUGAAACUCAAAAUUCAUUUUACAUUGCUUUUGUUUCUAUUUCUUAGAAUAUGUGCAUCCAUUCAAAGUUUAUAAUUGAUAAUAUACCAAAUUUCUCCCUGAAAUAAAUAAAUAGUAAAAGAACUAUCUUCUCCCUUCACUAGCCACCUCCAUUACGUGCAUAAGAAAUAAUGAAAUCAAUAGAACUAAUGAUAAGGUGGUUGGCGAUGGAGGGAGGAGGAAUGAAUGUAUGGACAACUAUUAGAGA
rnacentral:lncRNA from 1 species